GAUGAACGCUGGCGGCGUGUCUAAUACAUGCAAGUCGAGCGAACGGACGAGAAGCUUGCUUCUCUGAUGUUAGCGGCGGACGGGUGAGUAACACGUGGAUAACCUACCUAUAAGACUGGGAUAACUUCGGGAAACCGUAGCUAAUACCGGAUAAUAUUUUGAACCGCAUGGUUCAAAGGUGAAAGACGGUCUUGCUGUCACUUAUAGAUGGAUCCGCGCUGCAUUAGCUAGUUGGUAAGGUAACGGCUUACCAAGGCAACGAUGCAUAGCCGACCUGAGAGGGUGAUCGGCCACACUGGAACUGAGACACGGUCCAGACUCCUACGGGAGGCAGCAGUAGGGAAUCUUCCGCAAUGGGCGAAAGCCUGACGGAGCAACGCCGCGUGAGUGAUGAAGGUCUUCGGAUCGUAAAACUCUGUUAUUAGGGAAGAACAUAUGUGUAAGUAACUGUGCACAUCUUGACGGUACCUAAUCAGAAAGCCACGGCUAACUACGUG
rnacentral:rRNA from 1 species